CCUACGGGAGGCAGCAGUGGGGAAUAUUGCACAAUGGGGGAAACCCUGAUGCAGCAACGCCGCGGGAGGGAAGAGGUUUUUCGGUAUGUAAAGCCCUAUGAGCAGGGAAGAAGAGAGACGAUCCCUCGCAUAAACACCCCGGCUAACUACGCGAGAACAGCCGCGGAAAGACGGAGGGGGAACGCGUUAUCCGGAUUUACUGGGUGUAAAGGGAGCGUAGGCGGGAGGGCAAGUCUGAUGUGAAACCCCAGGGCUUAGCCAUGGAACUGCAUUUGAAACUGUUGAGCUAGAGUGAUGGAGAGGUAGGUGGAAUUCUUAGUGUAGCGGUGAAAUGCGUAGAGAUCAGGAGGAAUACUAGUGGCGAAGGCGGCCUACUGGACAGUAACUGACGUUGAUGCUCGAAAGCGUGGGGAGCAAACAGGAUUAGAUACCCCAGUAGUC
rnacentral:rRNA from 1 species